rnacentral:lncRNA from 1 species
GGAUCUUCAUCUUCUGAUACACGCACGAUCACCUACAGUAAUAUCACUUCCAUACAUAUACAAAUAUAGACUCAUAUAUACAUACAUACUAGAACAUAAAAACUUCCGACUACAUCGAUUAAUAGUGGCUAAAUACAUUAUGAACCUAUAUGAAAGUAUUUAAUUGUCUUUGCUAUGUAAAAAUAAAUAAACCCUCAACAAAUUUUGAACCUAGAGCUUUCAAGGGAGUCUUCCUAAGAUACUCUUUGCAAAGCAAAUAAUACAAAGUCCUAAACCUAGAAAACAAUGAUAUCUUGGUUAACAGAGAUGUGGUUUUUUAUGAAAUAGUGUUUUAUUUCAAGGAAAAAGCAAAAACUCUAAAAAUAAUAAUUUUCAUAAUAUAAUGAUAGAUACAUAUGUGAUAAAGAUGCUUUGGUGCAAGAUGUUCAUAAUAAGAUGCAAGUAUUGGAAGAAGAAGUGGACUUAUCAGAAGACGACUCCGGCGACUCCGACGAGUGGGAAGAGGCUGAGGAGGACUUGCUGUCCGUUGAGAGUGAAGAGGUGGAGGCACCUGAAAUGAAUAAGGAAAGAUAAAGAGGGUUUAUACUCUAAAUGAAGCUAAAAGGCCAAGAAAGACUCCAGUCCAUUUCAAAGAUUAUGAAAUGGUUUGAACUUUGAAUAAAUUAUUUAUUUUUAUGUUAUUUAAUUUUUAAUGGACUCCUAGGUCCAUUAUUUUAAACUAUUUAAAUAUUGUAACCUUAAUUUUAGGAAUUAUCAUUGUAAUAAUCGGCUAUUGUGCCUCUCAACC